rnacentral:rRNA from 1 species
GACGAACGCUGGCGGCGUGCCUAAUACAUGCAAGUAGAACGCUGAAGGAGGAGCUUGCUUCUCUGGAUGAGUUGCGAACGGGUGAGUAACGCGUAGGUAACCUGCCUGGUAGCGGGGGAUAACUAUUGGAAACGAUAGCUAAUACCGCAUAAUAGCAGUUAUUGCAUGAUAACUGUUUGAAAGGUGCAAUUGCACCACUACCAGAUGGACCUGCGUUGUAUUAGCUAGUUGGUGGGGUAACGGCUCACCAAGGCGACGAUACAUAGCCGACCUGAGAGGGUGAUCGGCCACACUGGGACUGAGACACGGCCCAGACUCCUACGGGAGGCAGCAGUAGGGAAUCUUCGGCAAUGGACGGAAGUCUGACCGAGCAACGCCGCGUGAGUGAAGAAGGUUUUCGGAUCGUAAAGCUCUGUUGUAAGAGAAGAACGAGUGUGAGAGUGGAAAGUUCACACUGGGACGGUAUCUUACCAGAAAGGGACGGCUAACUACGU